ACGAUGACUCUCGGCAACGGAUAUCUUGGCUCUCGCAUCGAUGAAGAAUGUAGCGAAAUGCGAUGCCUGGUGUGAAUUGCAGAAUCCCGUGAACCAUCGAGUCUUUGAACGCAAGUUGCGCCCGAGGCCACCCGACCGAGGGCACGCCUGCCUGGGCGUCACGC
rnacentral:rRNA from 1 species